rnacentral:lncRNA from 1 species
AAAAGGGUCACUUAAUACAGCUUCUCUCUCUCUCGGCAUAGGCGAUUUUAACCUCGCACGAUUUCUUUGCAAAAGGGUCACUGACUUCCGUUUCUCUCUCUCGGCAUAUUCAUCUUUGGGGUCGCACGAUUUCUUGCUAUCUGUUGGCAAAUCAUAGAACCCUAGCUCAAGUUAUAGGCAAAUCAAGCUGAGAUUUCUUGCUCUCUGUUGGCGAUUUUGGGAAAAUCAAUACAACCCUAGAAGAAGUCUUUCGCAAAUCAAAUCCUGUUGACUCUCAUUCGGCGAUUUUGGGGAAAAUGAUUGAACCCUAGACGACGUCAUCUGUAAAUCAACUAUUGGGGUCAAAUUCGUAGGUAAGGUUGUAGAUUAAUCUCCAAAAUCUGAGAUUUAUGUUGAUGUUCUCCAUUAAUUUUGUUGAACCCUAGUUUCAUCCUGUUUUUAUAAAGAAGUAGCUAGCUAGUUUGGAUGGGGAUGAGUGUGAUUCUACUAUUUCUUGUUAAUAUUAGUUUAUAUUUGUUCCUUCUCCCUUUACCUCUUUAAUGUCAUUUUUAUAAAUUGUUUAAUACUUGACAUAUUUGAUUUGCUAGAUUUUGGAACUUGUGGGUAUUGCAGGAAUUCAAGUUGUUGCUGCUGUUAUGUACCAGAAAUCAGAAGAAUCGCGUAGGAAAUUUUGCUAGUUGGUAUUUGUGUUGUAUUUGAACUGUUUGAAUUAUUGAGGAAAUUGUUAUGUAUUGGGUUUUGCUAGUUGGUAUUUGUAUUGAAAUUGAACUGUUUGAAUUGUUGAGGAAAUUGUUAUGUAUUGGGUAUCUUGUACACACUCAGGGAGAAUUGUUUCGGUUGGUUUUGAUGUGAAAUAUGCUUGUUCGAAUCAAUUUUUGAAUUUGUUAAGUAUAACAGGUUAAUGGAUUUUACUGGGUAUUGCAUGAAUCUUGCAGGAAAAUAUUUACUGGUAUCAAGUAUGUAUCGUUGUGGCUGUAACAGGAAAGAUUGCAUGAAUCUUGCAG